GAGGUUGCUACAAAAAACCGAGAGAAAAAAAAAAAGAAAAGAAAAAUUAAUUAUGGGAAAUUGUAAUUAAAAAAGGGGGGAUUUGUAAUUUUUUUAAUAUUGUUUGGGGAAAAAAAUUGAGGGUUGGUAGAGAGGGGAGAAAAAGAAGAAAUAUUUUUAUAGAUGGGGGGGAGCAAAAAGGAAAGGGGGAGAAUAAAAAAAAGUUCUCACUAAAAAAAAAGAUUAGUCUCUUAUAAACACUCCAACAAAGAGAUUCCUCAAGAAAUUAACACAGGAGAAAAAAGACUAAAGCAGAGGAAUUCUGAUGGAUCGGGUGUAAGAAUAAUUUGAGAACACCAAAAAAAAACUGUCGAAAAAAACACCACUAAAAAAGAAAAUAGGGGGGAUAGUGUUUUUAUCCACCGCAAAACAAAAAAAAGAACUUAUGCUUCAAUUAUCAGAGAACGGGGAGGGGUAGUAAUAUGCAGAGUCGGUUGGUCAGGGAAAAGAGAACGGAACAACACGACAAGUUAAUCAAAAAAAUGUGCUGGUGGGAGACAUUCGAUAUAUAGUGGCACAUUUAAGUUUGUUGUAGAGAGAGGUAAUGCGCUCAGGAGGGAAAUGAGAAAAGAAUUUAGGGGGACAUGAGACAUCAAAAUGGCACAUUACACAAUAAACUUCCCCAUUUAAAGAAUCGGGCUUAGAUGUUGUGCGCGGAGAAAGCAGAUAGGGAAUAUGCAUGGCAGAAUUGCGUGAAUCAUCUCAUCUUUGAACACACAUUGCGCCCACCAGUAUUUUGGCGGGCAUGCCUGUUAGAGCGUCAUUUCAACCCUCAAGCCCCCGGGCUUGGUGUUGGGGCUCGGCCCGUCCCUCGCGGCGCGCCGUCCCCGAAAUCCAGUGGCGGUCACGCUGUACUCCUCUGCGUAGUAAUCCAACCUCGAAAGGGGACAAAGCCUGGCCACGCCGUUAAACCCCCCACUUCUGAAGGUGACCUCGGAUCAGGUAGAUGCCCAUUUUCGCG
rnacentral:rRNA from 1 species